ACUGCCCUGAGAGACCAUACAGAUAUCUGUUUCAUGUGCUUCAGUAGAUGGCAGAGAGGAGAGAGGCUAUGUCUGUGCUCAGUGUUCUGAACUGUGAACAUUUGAGGGACUGCAGCCUGACAAU
ensembl:snoRNA small nucleolar RNA SNORA17